rnacentral:rRNA from 1 species
CUCGGCAACGGAUAUCUCGGCUCUCGCAUCGAUGAAGAACGUAGCGAAAUGCGAUACUUGGUGUGAAUUGCAGAAUCCCGUGAACCAUCGAGUCUUUGAACGCAAGUUGCGCCCGAAGCCACUANGCCGAGGGCACGUCUGCCUGGGCGUCACGC